UUGGACGAGUUCGAUAUUGGGUCAUCUGGGGUCAAAAGCUAGGUCACCAGGUCAAAUCAAAGGAAAAGCUUGAUAACACUCUAGAGGUCACAAUUUUGGCCCAAUCUUAAUGAAAAAAUCAAAGGAAAAGCUUGUUAACACUCUAGAGGUCACAAUUUUGGCCCAAUCUUAAUGAAACUUGGUCAGAGUGUUAUACUCAAUAAACUCUUGGAAAAGUUCGAUAUUGGGUCAUUUAGGUUCAAAAACUAGGUCACCAGGUCAAAUCAAAGGAAAAGCUUGUUAACACUGUAGAGGCGGCAUUUAAGACUGUAUCUUCAUGAAACUUGGUCAGAAUGUUAAUAUUGAUGAUCUCAAGGUCCAGCUUGAAUCUGGGUCAUGUAGGAUCAAAAACUAGGUCACCCAGUCAAAUCAUAGGAAAAGCUAGUUUACACUGUAGAGGCCACAUUUAUGAUCAUAUCUUAAUGAAACUUGGUCAAAAUGUUAAUCUUGAUGAUCUAUAGGUCAGUUUUAAAUCUGGGUCAGGUGGGGUCAAAAACUAGGCCACUAGGUCAAGUCAAAGGAAUAGCUUGUUACCACUGUAGAGGCCAUAUUUAUGACUGUAUCUUCAUGAAACUUAGUCAGAACGUUAAACUUGAUGAUCUUUAGGUCAAGUUCGAAUCUGGGUCAUGUUGGGUCAAAAACUAGGUCAUGGGGUCAAUUCAAAGGAAUUGCUCGUUAACACUUUAGAGGCCACAUUUAUGACCAUAUCUUAAUGAAACUUGAUCAGAAUGUUAAUCUUGAUGAUCUUUAGGUCAAUAGGUCAGGUGAUCAAUACAGGGCCUUCAUGGCCCUCUUGUUUCAAAAGCACCUCUAGUUUUUAUGAGUUUUUCUGAUCGCUCGAUGUCAGGUGUCCGUCGUCUGUCGUCCGUCAACAUUUAGCUUGUGUAUGCGAUAGAGGCUGUAUGUUUCAACUGAUCUUCAUGAAAUUUGGUCAGAAUGAUUACCUUGAUGAAAUCUAGGCGAGUUCGAAAAUGGAUCAUCUGGGGUCAAAAACUAGGUCACUAGUUCAAAUCAAGGAAAAACCUUGUGUAUGUGAUAGAGGCUGUAUUUUUCAAUCGAUCUUCAUGAAUUUUUGUCAGAAUGGUAACCUUGGUGAAUUCUAGGCUGAGUUCGAAAAUGGGUCAACUAGGAUCAAAAACUAGGUCACUAUGUCAAAUCAAGUAAAAACCUUGUGUAUGCGAUAGAGACUGUAUUUUUCAACUGAUUCACAUGAAUUUUGGUCAGAAAGAUUACCUUGAUGAAAUCAAGGCAGAGUUUGAAAAUGGAUCAUCUGGGGUCACUAGGUCACUAGGUCAAAUCGGAGAAAAACCUUGUGUAUGUGAUAGAGGGUGUAUUUUUCAAUUAAUCUUCAUGAAUUUUAUUCAGAAUAAAUGCCUUGAUGAAAUUUAGGUCAAGUUCGAAUAUGGGUCAUCUGGGGUCAAAAAGUAGGUCUCUGUCAAAUCAAAGGAAAACCUUGUGUAUGCGAUAGAGGCUGUAUUUUUCAAUUGAUCUUCAUGAAAUUUGUUUAAGAUACAGCCUUGAAACUUGGAUGGCAUGUACAGUUUUGCACACCGAUCUUAAAACUGACUUUCAUUGACCAUGAAUUUGACCUACUGACCUACUUUCUAAUAUUUUAUCAGUGUGCCAUUUUAAACAUGUGGCUUGUAUUACUCAGGUGAGCGAUUUAGGGUCAUCAUGACCCUCUUGUUUAACAAACCAAGUUUUUUUUACCAUUAUCCCUAACAUUUGUGUCUUAAUUACUGUAAAAUCAUUACAUUUCGUGGGCAUGAAUUUUCGUGGUUUUGGUCAAAAUGGCAAUUUCUUGCGGAUAUGAAUUCAUGGAUUUCAACUUUUGAACAUAAAUUGAAUGGGAGUUUUACUUGUUUGUUGGGAUUAGAUUUCGUGGAUUGACUCAUCCACGAAAUCCACGAAUAUUAAUAAUUUCACAGCAAAUAAUAUCAUCAACCAGUAUUACUACAACAUUAUUCUUGGCACAGAAUGUGUAUUAAGUAUUUCUGAAUUCUAGAAAGUUUGUCAUGUCUGUCCAUUUCAGGAUAGCUUGAGCUUUACUUUUGUCUGCCAAUUUUACUGUUCUUAUUGCUUUAGCUAGAAGAUUAAAGAGGUAUUCAGGCCUGGUUCUUUUGAAUGAAAUAGAGUUAUUAUAUAUGUGUACUAUUUAAGUAUAUAAAAGUAAACAGCAGAAAAGAAGUCAACAAAUGUGAACAAUAUGUUGCUUUAAGUGCCUCAGUGUGACUAAUGAAGAAUAUUUGUGACCAAUCUUCACUUAUUUUAUCGCAGAAAAGUAGAACACUAUCAUUUGACAAUUUUCAGAGGUAUUCAGAGGUAAAAAGUAAUAGAAAUGUGGAAAUGAUCUGUUUGUGCUAACUAAGCCUGUCAUUGUAACUAUAAAUGAAAUUCAGGUCAUAUUUGAUUUUGGGCCAUAAGAGGUCAAAACCUAGGCCACCAGGUCAAAUCAUAGUCAAUGGCUUUAGUAAUUCAAUUAACAUGGGGAUAUGUUCUAAAAACUUGUUUUUCAUUUUGGAUUAAUAUAUUGUACCAGGUACAAAGUAUAUUAGACCAUUUAAUGGUGCAAAUGUAAAUCACUGAUAGAAUGAAUACACAGGUAUAUAUAAAUAAUUUUAUUGAGAUUUGAUCUUGGUGUUGAUGUGUUCCUCCAUGCUUUGGCCUUCCUUUCUUCCUUGCUGAUGUCUGUAGCAGUAGUCAGUCAUCACUUUUGCACCUAUAGAAUUUAAAAUUUGUUGUUGUAUUGUCUUGGUGUUGUUUUAGAGAGGACUCAGACAGUGCUGUUUCAAGAGAACAUGUUCACAUACAAGAAUCUGGUCGCACUUUACCGCAAAGACCUAUGCCUGGCAUUCCUAGUGCAAAUGACAGACAAGGACAUGAUAGUAAAGGCCGGGGUUUGUCAGCUACCUUCAAUGAUGAGGACCAUCCACUAGUUGCUAUUGAUACACCCUCGCAAAAAAAGGGUGCUUUAGAAUCACUACCUGAAGGAACAGGAGGAGAAGGAUCGGUGAAGAAAUUAAAGAAAAAGAAAAAGAAAUCAAAAGAUCGAGAGGAUGAAAUGUAAAGAUUAGCAAUCGUUAUCCUGUCAUAGCAGACUUGGUAGCAGCAUUGAAUUGUAUACAUUUUCUGGUAGCAUGUAGCAUUGAACUGUAAACAUUUUCUGGUCAUCAAACUGGAACAAAUCGGACUAUAUCAGUUAUCUAGCAUUAAAGUUGAAAAUAAAAAAUUCUUAUAUGUUGAUUACAAGUUAGAACAUUGUUAAACAUGUAAAGUAAACUGUUAAAAAACUUAGAACAAGUUACAAUGAUAUUAAAAGUAACAUUUCUAAAUUUGAUGUUGAAAUGAUUAGGCUGAAGAAAAGCUAAAAUUUUCCUCAUGAUUAACCAUGUAUGAAUAUUUCUGGAAACAUUUAAAUGUGCAAGCACUACAGUCAAGAUAGUUUGAUUGCAAAACUUGAAAGAGGCAGUUUUAGUACUUUAUUUCUUAAUUAUUGAGUUGAAAUAAAAAUUAAAAAAUUUCAGGGAGAAUCUUUAUGACAUUAUUAUGUAAUGUUUAUUUCAACUCCCUUUAUUGUUGCUUUGAGGAGUGUACAGAAGUUUGCAACCAUAAGCAAUUUAGUGAUCACAUUUUGUCAGUCGUCCAUUCACAAUUUCUUGUGAGCACAAUAGAGACCACAUUUUUCAAUCAACUUAAUCAAACUUGCACACAACUUAUAUUAGCAUUAUAUCUCGGUUCUUUUCCAAAACUGGCCAGAUCUCAUGGGUUCCAGAGUUAUGGCCCCUUAAAGGACUAUUUUUGGCUUGUGAACACAAUAGAGACCACAUUUUGCAAUCAAUUUAAGUAAAACUUGCAUACAACUUGCAUUGGCAUAAUAUCUGGGCUCCUUUCAAAAAUUGGCUUGAUUCCAUCAUGAGUCCCAGAGAAAUGGCCCCUUAAAGGGCCAAAAUUUUUGGCUUGUGAACAUGAUAGACACCACAUUUUGCUAUUGAUUUUAAUUAAACUUGCACACAACUUCUAUUGGCAUAACAUCUCAAAUCCUUUCGAAAACUGACCAGAUCCCAUCAUGGGUUCCAGAGUUACAGCCCCUUAAAGGGCCAAAAUUUGCUAUUUUUGGCUUGUGAACACAAUAGAGACCAUUUUGCAAUCAACUUCAAUCAAACUUGCACACAAGUUGCAUUGGCAUAAUAUCUGGGUUCUUUUCGAACACUGACCGGAUUCCAUCAUGGGUUCUAGAGUUGUGGCCUCUUAAAGAGCCAAAAUGUUUUAUUUUUUGCUUGUGAACACGAUAGAGACCACAUUUUUCAAUUGAUUUUAAUUAAACUUGCACACAACUUGUAUUGGCAUAAAAUCUCGGUUCCUUUCGCAAACUGAUUAGAUCCAAUUAUGGCUUCCAGAGUUAUGGCCCCCUUACAGUGCCAAAAUGGGCUAUUUUGGCUUUUGCAGCCAUAUAGACUUCAUUUAUGGUUUGAUUUGAUACAAACUUGCAAAAUAUCUUUAACAACCAUAACUUUUGGAUUCCAUGAUGAAUCUGUCAGAUCCAUUCAUUGGUUCUAGAGUUACGGUCAGUGAUUGACCCCUGAAAGAGACAAAAUUUGUUGAUUUUUACCUUGUGAACAUGAUAGAAGUGUUAUUUUAGAUUUGAUUUUAACCAAACUUACACACAACUUUAGUCAAAAUAAGAUCUCGCUUCCUUUUAAAAACUGGCUAGAUUCUUUGAUGGAUUCUAGAGUUACUGCACCUGAAAGUGGCAAAAUUUUCUAUUUUGGCCCAUCAGCCAUAUAGAGGUUUCAUUUAUGCUCUUUUUGAUACAGACUUGCACAGAAUGUUUAUCUUGGUGAUCUCUAGGCCUGCAUCGAAACUGGGUCAUGUUUGGUCAUAAACUAGGUCAUCAGGUCAAAUCAAAGGAAAAGCUUGUUAACUAGAGGCCACACUUUGACCCUGUCUUCAUGAAACUUGGUCAGAAUGUUUAACUUGAUGACUCCAAUGCCAAGUUCAAAACUGGGUCAUUUGGAGUCAAAAACUAGGUCACCACUCAGAUCAAAGGAAAAGCUUGUUCACACUGUAGAGGCCACAUCUAUGACUCUAUCUUCAUGAAACUUGGUCAGAAUGUUUAUCUUGAUGAUUCAAAGGCUAAGUUUAACAGGUGAGCGAUAUAGGUUCAUCAUGACCCUCUUGUUAAUAUUCAUUACCUCUUUUAAAAGGGAAUUGUUCUAAUGUUAUAGUUACAUCUAGUUGAGAGAGCUAGUUAAUAAGUCUAAAGAAUAAAUAUAAUAGGUCCUCUGAUGUCUUCUUUUGUAAGUAAUGAUAGAAAUUUAAAAAUCAUUCAAGUCAUUUCAAAGAUGUAGCCUUGUUACUUAAUUUCUACAACUUGCAUUUUAAAAGGCUCUGCUUUCUAUUUUCAGUAUUAUUUAAACUAUAUGAAAAAAACUAUAUGCUAGACUAUGAAAAUUCUUAUUUUCUCAUUAAAAAGACGAGUUUAAUUUGUAGGAACAUAAACAAUAUUGUCAUCAUUAUUAUUAUUAUAUUACAUCCCUAACAACUCAAAAGAGCCUGAUGUUGGAUGAAAAUAUGACCAAGAUAAAUUAUAUUUGAAAUAUAUUAAAUAUUACUUGAAGUGAACCAAAAAUACAGUGUGUGUUUCACUCUAAUCUAGUUUGAUCUGUGAUAUUAAAGAUCCGUCCAUUUGCUAGAAUCCAAAAGUUUUUUCAUACUUUUUUGCAUUUGGUUUUAAUUGUACAUUGUUCAGAAACUUUUACGGAAGGCAUACACAUGUACUGUGUAAAGUAUGGUUAUAAGGAAAACUGCUUCUUAAUUAGUUUUCAGCAGGAAUCCCAUUUGAACUUUGUAUAACACACCAAAACCGUUUUCCUCAGACAAAAAAGAAUGUGAGUUCACUAAGCUUCAAAUUAAGCUUAAACUACAGUAUGUGAUGAACUUCACAGAUUUAAAUGAUUUGCUAAAUGAUUAGAAAUUAUUUUGUCUCUCCAUAUUUUAAACUAGGUACUUAAGUGGAAACAAACUUUUGGAUGCUAGUGUAGCUAUGUAUUUUAUGUAUAGAAAUAUUAUUGAUAUAUAUGCUCAGAUGUUAGUGAAAUCUUUAUAGUAGUAUAUUAUAUCUAAGAUUGGAAUGAAAGAUUUUUAUGCCCCCGAAGGGAGGCAUAUAGUUUUUGAACAGUCUGUCAGUCUGUCGGUCUGUCCGCAAUUUUCGUGUCCGGUCCAUAUCUUUGUCAUCGAUGGAUGGAUUUUCAAAUAACUUGGCAUGAAUGUGUACCACAGUAAGACGACGUAUCGCGCGCAAGACCCAGGUCCGUAGCUCAAAGGUCAAGAUCACCAUUAGACUUUAAAGGUCAUUUUUCAUGAUAGUGCAUUCGUGUCCGGUCCAUAUCUUUGUUAUCGAUGGAUGGAUUUUCAAAUAACUUGGCAUGAAUGUGUACCACAGUAAGACGACGUGUCGCGCGCAAGACCCAGGUCCGUAGCUCAAAGGUCAAGGUCACACUUAGACGUUAAAGGUCAUUUUUCAUGAUAGUGCAUUCGUGACCGGUCCAUAUCUUUGUCAUCGAUGGAUGGAUUUUCAAAUAACUUGGCAUGAAUGUGUACCACAGUAAGACGACGUGUCGCGCACAAGACCCAGGUCCGUAGCUCAAAGGUCAAGGUCACACUUAGACGUUAAAGGUCAUAUUUCAUGAUAGUGCAUUGAUGGGCGUGUCCGGUCCAUAUCUUUGUCAUUCAUGCAUGGAUUUUAAAAUUAUUGGGCAUGAAUGUGUACCACAGUAAGACGACGUGUCGCGCGCAAGACCCAGGUCCGUAGGUCAAAGGUCCUAAACUCUAACAUCGGCCAUAACUAUUCAUUCAAAGUGCCAUCGGGGGCAUGUGUCAUCCUAUGGAGACAGCUCUUGUUUUCACAUUAUGUUUAAUUAUUAAUACCUCUCAUUACCACGGAAUCAAAAGUUGCUUGGAAAACAGUUUUUGUAAGGGUGUUUUAAGGCACUAGCUGGCUUCUUGGUUCCCCCUGAUAUAUGUAUGUAGUUUUAUCUCCUUUAAGAAUUGAAAUAAAAGGAAAAAUAUUUAUUGAGAAAAAAAGUACUAGUUUAAUCCGUAUUGGUGUUGGAUUCAGAUUCUAUCCAGAAAACAUUUAAAUGAGACUUGCAUUGAUUUGAAACUGAUUGUAGAAUAUGUCUCACUUUUCUGAAGUUGAAUAAAAUUAUAGGAGGAGCUGUUCAACUUGGUGCAGCACCCUUUUAGACUUAGUUAGGCCAUACCAGAUUGGAUCUAUGUUUCAUGAUGUACCAUAUGAAAAAAAUUGCAUACCAAACAGGAGAAAAUAAAUGCAAGUGUAGAUAAAUCAUUACUUCCUGGUAACUUUUAGAUAUAGAGCCAAAUUUUAGCAAUAAAACUCUGUAUUAAGUUGUAAUACCUUAAAACUGUUAAUGUAUUUAUUCUGUAAUGAACAGAAAUUGACAUUGUGAUUUUGUUUUAUAGGUCGUGAUACACCAGUUUUAACAUUUUUAGAUUUUUUCCAUCAUACCACGAAGAGGACGUUAAACAUAGACAUAAUUUGGUAUGCCCUUAUGUCAGGCUAUACCUUGUGCAUAACUAUUGGGCAUGAAUAAAUGUUAUUGAAUAUAGUUCUAUUUAAUGAGUGUUUGCGGUGAAUGAUUUUGUACUAUUAUGAUAUAGUGUUACAUUUUUUACUAUAGUGUAUUGUAAUAUCCAUACCUCUAUGCCUUAAACAGUAUCACGUUUCUGGCUUACUUGUAUUUCAUUUUUGCUCAAGGACUUUUGUACACACAAGCUACAUAAUAUGACUCUGCCAUUGUUUUGUUUUUUCUGUUUUGUAUGCUUUUUAUUUUUUCACCUCUUUUGUUUUAGCAAGAGCCACUAUUUCAUGAUUCAUGUUUGUUUUUUGAUUAUGUUGAAAACUACAAGAAGAAAUAUUGCUACACCAAAAUGUUUACAUAACAGUUUUCCUUUGUUAUAUAUUUUGAUAAUGUACAGUAUGACAUACAAUGCUGUCCUGUUAUCUUGAUGAAGGGAGGAUUUGAG